rnacentral:lncRNA from 1 species
GAACUAUUGUCUCUUCAAGUGCUCUGUACGGAGGAAGGAAAAGAGGUGACAGGCGUCGUUAUCGAAAAACCCUUCAUAAAAUACUGUAGCCAAUAUACCAACGAGUGGGCCUCGAAAGUUCUUUAUGAAAAGACACAGUCGGAAUGGCUUAUUUCUGAAAGCCACACAGCCUGUCCAAACACGAGAUAAGUUCCACUGAGUCAUUAAGCAAACUUCUCUUGGACGUUCAACAACAGAACAACACGUGAGGGCCAUUUUUUUUUAUCAACAUCCAUACCACAGGGAAUACAACAGCUGUCAGAUCAGAUCUUCAAACAAAUCGAGGAACUGACUUUAACCAUGAAAACGCCACGAUUCAUCUUGGCUCUGUUCUUGUUUAUCAUCUCUUUAACGAAAGCGAAGAACUGCUCAAUGCAAGCGAAAAGUAUCUUAAACAAGACAGUCGUCAAAAUGACUGAUGAAGAGUGCGAAACAUUUAACUCUGAGCCAUGUGAGACAACAGAAAACAUAGAAGAAUUGGAUUUAUCCCGCAAUAAAAUUGUAGAAAUAAAGCGUGCCAUGUUCACUUGUCUCAAGAAACUGAAGAAAUUGUGAGUACCUUAUUUAACAUCUGUAGUUGAGU